GUUUCUCUUUGUAGUAGGUUGUAUCAUGGAUGCGACCCAAACGGCCUAAAAGGUUCCUCCGCUCACUGUUUUGGCCCAACAACUUGACGCUGGUCUAACCCAAGGGGCCUAAAAGGUUCCUCUUUUACAUAAAAUCUAAACCAGGAAGGCACCCAAUCUCCAGGGUCGAAGAAACAACGUUCAGAGCUAGCUUAGAAGACGAGGUGUAAACUACAAUGGGAAGUGUCAGUAACGGUUGGUUUUGUUCUCCAUCAGUCCUCAUAGCUCCUAUUGAGAACAAGAGGAUGUGCAAUUUUGCAGUGUCCAUUUCGAAGAAUGCCUUGAAAUCGAGCAAGAUUUGUUGCAAGCUACCUGGGACUGAGAGUAGUGGGAUUGAGCAGAACCCCACAAGCCGUAGACCCAACAGUUCCGGGACCAAGAUAGAAGAUUACAACGUUGCGAUGAAGAGGAUGAUGAGGAACCCUUAUGAGUAUCACCAUGAUCUUGGCAUGAACUAUACUCUGAUAACUGAUAAUCUCAUAGUGGGUUCCCAGCCUCAGAAACCUGAAGAUAUAGAUCACCUAAAAAAGGAAGAGAAUGUGGCAUAUAUUCUGAACUUGCAGCAGGACAAGGACGUUGAAUAUUGGGGAAUUGACUUGCAAUCGAUAAUAGAAAGAUGUCGAGAAGUUGGAAUCCGUCACAUGAGGAGGCCUGCAAGAGAUUUUGAUCCAGAUUCGUUGCGAAGUGGAUUACCUAAAGCUGUUUCAUCAUUGGAAUGGGCCAUUUUCGAGGGAAAAGGAAAAGUUUAUGUGCACUGCACAGCUGGAUUAGGAAGGGCCCCGGCUGUUGCAAUUGCUUACAUGUUCUGGUUCUGUGGCAUGAAUCUGAAUAAAGCAUAUGAUACACUAACUUCAAAGAGACCUUGUGGACCCAAUAGAAGUGCAAUACGUGGAGCUACUUAUGAUCUGGCUAAGAAUGAUCCAUGGAAAGAGCCCUUUGAUAACCUUCCGGAAUAUGCGUUUGAGGGUAUAGCAGAUUGGGAGAGAAAUUUGAUACAAGACCGUGUUCGUUCCCUCCGUGGAAGUUGAGCACCUAGGCCUUGGACCUCGGAUAUUGAACAUACUUCAUGGAUGUCCACAUACCCUGUAAAUCAUGCAAACUGUUAGGUAACAGUGUUCAGCAAAGUGUUAGUAAUGGAUGAGGAGUCUUCCAGGCAAGCAAGCAACGGCCAACAUCAAUUAGGAUUCUAAAGUAUACAUGUCAUUAGAAAUUCCAGACAUUUCAACGAUUAUGUCAUUAUGAGCCACCGAGCUGGUAGCAACUUCAUGGCUGUGCUCAGAGCUGGGGGCCUGUCAACCAUGAUUUACCAUUCUUCUUGGAAAAGAACUUAGAAUUUAGCUUCGAAUUUGUAUAUAUGAUUCAAAACUAUUAUAUCUGUAAGUAGCAAAUAAAUCUGUGCUCCAGAGAUGGCACAGAAGCUGUAGGUUUUGUUGUGGAAGCAUUUUCAGUUAAAUGAGAUUUUAUCAUCAGACCGGCAA